AUCCAGCUGACGAGUCCCACAUAUGACGAAGCGCGCAUCCUGGAU
rnacentral:hammerhead_ribozyme from 1 species